rnacentral:rRNA from 1 species
UAUCCAGGCGGGGUACUUGGUGCAUUAUGGCCAGUGCCCAAAGGUCCUGACCACCGGCACCUAGUGCGGAUCGAAUACGGCGUGGAUGUAAAGGGUUGUUAAUCGGGUUUAAUCCCCACGCUGACGCGCCUCAGUGUCACAAACUGCCCAAAACACCGCCUUCGCCACCGGUCUUCCUCCGGGUCUCUACGCAUUCGACCGCUUCACCCGGAAUUCCUGCUGCCUCUAGGGUCCUCGAGUUUGACAGUCGGGUGGGCAGAACCGGAGUUGAUCUCCGGGCUUUCAGCACAGCCUUAUGAAACCCUCUACGCCCGCUUUACCCCCAGGGAUUCCGGACAACGCUCGGACCCGCCGUAUUACCGCGGCUGCUGGCACGGACUUAGGCGGUGCUUCCUCACCCGGUACCGUCUGGCUCGAUUAAUCGAGCUAUUCAUCCCGGGCAACAUUGGUUGACACUCCAAACAGCUUACUACGACACCCAGGGUCCUUGCGUAACCACUUAGGCCAUUGCGCAGCAUUCCCAAGUGCUGCCUCCC